rfam:Ailuropoda melanoleuca scaffold220_25, whole genome shotgun sequence.
GCCUGGGUGGCUCAGUCGGUUGAGCAUCUGACUUCAGCUCAGGUCAUGAUCUCAAGGGUCCUGGGAUCGAGCCCCACAUUGGGCU